UAUAUCUCCAAUAUUGCUAUGCCUUAGUAUUUUAGUACGGCGUAGCAUUUCUAUUAGUUAAGGUUGGGAGAAAGAGACAUCCCACCUUGCCUGUUAGGUGAUGUAAUGUAAAUGUGUUAGCAGGGUCCCCGUCCCAAGUGCCAGGGCAGCCCAGGUUGACCUGAGGUCCAGACAGCCCUCAGCCCGGGAGAGGAGAAGGCCUGCCAGAAGGAGAGACUUUGAGGAUGAGAAGGGCCUGUUGCUUCAAUGUUUCCAUGCUGUGGCCCAGAACAUGGUGACUGCAACUUCAGAGGAAUGAAAAGGGCCAACCGGAUGUCCAGUCUCUGUUCUCUGUGACAAGCCUGUACGUGGAGGGGACCGCACGUACAGGCUUGUGAUAAAAUUACGAGGUUGGAUGGGGGCUGUCAGCCGUUGAAGGGGAUGACCUCUCACUGCGGUCCACCCCGUACUACCCGGUCAGGUGUGUGUCCAUGGAGACUGUUGCCACAGAGCGCUGGCUAUGGCCCGGCACGUCAGACACGCUGAAAUUGUUUGGGGCUGGUCAGAACCGGACAGAAACCCGUUACCCACAUCCUGGAUGGGGAGUGGGAUGGGCCCUCCACCUAACAUGGAUGACCCCUUACAUCUACACAUAGGAUCCCAUUCCCUUCACAGCUUACUACUUUUGACUACAGUUUCAGGUCUAUAUUUUAUAUGCAGUCGAUCCCCAAUACAAAUGACAAAAUGAACGGUCUAUUUCUGUGUCUGCAUCAGGAGAGCAAAAAACAUCCAUAUUUGUGUUUUUAUGCAGAAAAACAUCUGAAUGUUGCUUAUGCAUGUGUGAAUUGUUUAAUCAGCCACCAGGGCAGACGUCAAAUGGAGAUGAGGUAGUAGCAGAGAUAUUUCAGUCUCUGUGUACAACAGCUCCGUGUAGUGAGUAGGAGCAGGGCAGCGUCAGAGAGCGGGGAAAAUCUCAAUUGUAGACUUCUUGCGUCCUCUCUCUUUGCCUCCUUCAAAAGAGAAGGUUCGAGGGGCGGGACCUCUGGCUU